rnacentral:pre_miRNA from 1 species
AAUACAUGAGUAUCUUGUUAAAGUGCAGCUUCUGACUCAGUAGCUAAGAUUCUGCAUUUCUAACAAGAUCUCAGAUGAUUCUAA